UACGAAGGGGCUAGCGUUGCUCGGAAUUACUGGGCGUAAAGGGCGCGUAGGCGGCACUGUUAGUCAGGCGUGAAAGUCCUGGGCUCAACCUGGGAACUGCGCUUGAUACGGCAGAGCUAGAGGAUGGAAGAGGCUCGCGGAAUUCCCAGUGUAGAGGUGAAAUUCGUAGAUAUUGGGAAGAACACCGGUGGCGAAGGCGGCGAGCUGGUCCAUUACUGACGCUGAGGCGCG
rnacentral:rRNA from 1 species